AUUAAAUUACAAUCCAUCAUAGUAGACAUUUCAGAAUUCAAAACUCCAAUUUCCUAAACAACCUUAGUAAAGUAAUUUCUCAAUUAAACUUCAGAGGCUACAAAGAUUGAGAGAGGUUAGACUAAAAGUGCAGAAAUAGUAGAGAAUUGUUCAUUUUUGAGAUCCACUUGGAAGAGACAAUUAUUGGAGAUUGGAAGUUCGUGGUUUUAGCAGGAUCUUUGAGGUUACAAGAAGUAGAUCGGGAUGUCUAGUGGAGUUGGGGAGGCAGCAUCUAACUAUAAAUUCAUAUUGUCUAUAGUGGAGAUAACUGGCUUGGUCCCCAAGUUUUUAUCCAGUUGGGUUUCUCCGCCAACAUAUGUGUGUUAUUUACUGUUUUCAUAUUAUAAAUUGUGGCAAUUCAACUUAAAAUAAUUGAAUAGUUUGAUUAACCAUUCAUAAACAAUUAAAAAGUGACUUAUUGCUUUUGAUUGUGUUAAUUCUACACGUAAGGUCAAACUAAAUUAGUUAAUUAGAACUUUCAGUUGGUUUCAGAGCCAAAAUUCGAUUCUUGGCCUCACUUUCUAUCCCACCAUAUUUUGAUGUUAGUAAUUAUGUAUACUUGAAGGUUAGAAUGAGACCCUUUUUAAAAUUUAUGGAUGAAUGCGUUUGGUUGAGUGUUGUUAAUUGUUGGGCUACCCCUAGUUCUACGAUUGAUAAUGUAGUAAUCUCUCCUCCUAUUGCGAAUUGGACCAAAACAAACCCAGGAGAAUGUAAUUGGGACAACAAAGCUUUGCAUGCAUUGUUUAUGGCCAUGUAUGAGGUAGCUAAAGAGGCUUGGAAUAUUUUACGGGCCACAUAUAAGAGAACUCAGGCUAUUAAGAACUUUAAAUUGCAGAUGCUGAUCAUUAGGUUUGAAGAGAUUAUGAUGAAAGAGGACAAGACCUUAGAUGAAUUCUAUGCGAGACCUAGGUGCGAGAAUCUCGAAGCCUAUGAUAGUCAGAAAAUCAUUAGAUCCUUAUUUGAACGAUUUAGGCCUAAAAUCAUGGUUAUUGAAGAAAGUAAGGAUAUGGACUCUGUUAAGGUGGUUGGAUCUUUCCAAACUUAUGAACUGACAUUAGCUAAACCCACAAAUGAUAAGUCUUAGGCCUUAAGCAUUAUGAGGAAUAGUCGUAGAGAGUCAUCAAAUUCAGAUUCCCCUAAUAAAGAGGAGUUAGGAUGAGAAGUGGAUCUGAUAAGGGGAGCAACAUGACUAAGGACAUAGAUAGUGCUGAAGAAUUAGAGGAAGAUUCUGAUACUGAGGGAGAUAUUCAUGAAUCUUAUGAUAGAACCUAUGAGAAUGGCAUUAGGAUUCUAACUACAAAUAAAGCCUUAGGUGCGAAGGUUAAAGAACUCGAGUUGGAGAAAGAUAAAUUGUUAGCUUGGCUUCAAGAAUCUAUCUCAACCUCGAGUGAGUUUAAAUCCAUGAACGAAUCUUUAGAGAUACUCAGGUUAAGGAUCUCACAAGUGAGCAUGAGAAGAUCUUUAGGAGAGCUAGUGAGCUGACAAUUGAAAAUGAAACUUUAGAAAUUCAGGUUAAGAAUCUUUUGUGCAAAAUUGAGUUUUCCAAGUCCCAACUUCUUGUCUUUUCUAACCUCUAUGAAUGGUUGUCGCCUGCUAGUGACAAGGGCGGUCUAGGAUAUAAGAAGAAAUAUCAUAAUAUUGCUAGUACGUUCAUGACCACAUUUGUCCCUCCGACUGAUCAGCAUAAACAUGUGCCUAACCCUGAUCCUAAGAAAAAGGAAUUUGUAGGAUAGAGGCCUACUAAAUAGCAUAGGACCCGCCAAUCUAAGAAUAGAAAUCAACGAUCUCAACUAUGUUCCUAGGUUUAUCCCUACAUAUUUUCAUUGUGGUGAGUUAAGACACAUAAGACCUAGGAGUUAUAAAUUCCUGAGCUUAAAUAGAACAAAACUUCAAUAGAAAUAAGAAUCAAGAGUUUGUUUGUAAGAUUGACUUCCUUACUAAUCAGGUGAGUCGGUGACCAAUAUGAUGACACAAAUGACUAAAAAUAUUUCUAUCACUAGGUUCGUUUGGGUGAAGUGAUUUAAAAAAUCUUGAAAUAGAUCAUGAUACUCUUAAAGGUAAGAACGUUUCACACCUAACUAAUUAUGUAUUUCUGGUGAAUGCUUGUGCUUUAUCAUUAUGUGUUAUUGAUUUAUGUAUGCAUCAUAUUUUUUAUUUGUUUUCUAAGUAGCAGUCUUAUGUCCAUUUUUUGUGUGUUUAACAUUUUCUUGUGUUCUUGGUGCAUUCAAAUUUUUAAAAUAAAAACAACAAAAAAUUUUGAAAAUUGAAAAAUACAAAGAAAAUGGGAAAAGGGAACAUAAAAUUGUUUUUACAACAUGAUGUAUAAUAUACUUGAAUUUGUUUGUUGUUAUCAAGUAUUGGUUUAAUGGAAGAGUUGUAGCAUAUUGGUUGCUUAGGUUAUUAUAGAAUACUUAGUAUAUGUGUUUUCAUGUACAAUCUGUACUGCACACAUUAUGAUAUUGUUAAUGGGACUCAACUGCAUUUGUGAGAUUUUAGAUGACAGUCACAUGUUAGUAAGGUGAUUUUGAACAUGAAUUGACAUUAUUAUUAGACCUAAGCUCAACUUUAAUCCCUAUAAUAAAAAGCUCAAUAUCUUAUGUUAUUCUUUGGAGCAUAUUUGACUCGAACAAUUAAGUCUGUGGGGUUUUUCAUAACUUGGUGCGAGCCAAUGGUCAACUAACUUAGGUUAACGGGACUAAAACUUGCUACGGGUUCAUCUUAUUCUUUUAAUGGAGAAGGACCUGUACUUAAGAUGUAAAAAUAUGAUGAGCUUAAAAAAUAUUGAAUGAUAUGAAAAAUUUAUGUAUGCUCAAAAUCAGGGAGAGAAAAAGAAAAUAUCCAUACAAAAUGAGCUUUUAUUUGAAGGUCCUAGUGUGCUUUAAAUGGUUUGACUUUCAUAAAUAAAUAAAAAUAAUCUUAUUGACAAUGAUGUUUAGUAUGUCAUUUAUCAUAAAAUUAAGGUAUGAAGUCGUGUUUACAAAGGAUUAAUGACGUUUUACACACAUGGAUCACUUCUAUAUUUUAUUCCAUGUUAACUCGAGUUGUGCAUGUGGGAAGGUUUGCUGAUCAUUGAUUAUGCUUGUGCAUGUAAUCAAUUGCACAUUUUGAGUUAUUAUAAUAUAUGUUAAAAAAAUUUUGAUACUGAUUUUUUUUAUUUGUGACAAAAAGGGGGAGAGUGAUUAUUUCGAUAGGGAGAGAGGAUAUAAAGGGAGAGACUAUAUCAUUAUAUCCUGAGAGAAAAUUGCAUGUUAGUAGGGGUGAAAUGACUGAUUAAUUAGAGUUUAAGUAAGAAGAAGAUUGAUUAAUUUCAUUGCAUAUAAAGCAUAGCUAUUUAAGUUUUUGAUGUUUCGUAUUAUUAAUGUUUUGGUUGAUGUUUUGAUUGACAUUAAUAUUAUUUCUCAUCUUAGCAUGCUUAUUUAUGAUCAUGUGCCUAUAUUGCUAUAUUUCUUGUAUCACGUUGCUUUUAUACUUAGUAUUUGAGUUAUAAAUUUCAGGAAACGGAGUUCAACAAGGAAUGCAAGAAAUUAGAGCUUGGGUAGAUUAGAUUUUUGUGUUUUUACCACCUUAACUUUAAUUGUAUAGUUUUGUCAAGGAAUGCAAAAGGAGAGUUUGUUAGGUUUUAUGUAAUUGGCAAUUUCGUGAAUAAAGGGAUCGAAAUAAAAUUUUUGUAAAAGUCAUGGAGUUAGUUGCAAUAUUGUAUAGUUGAGUUACACAGGUUAGGAUUCGAGUUCGGAAUAAGGAAAAAAGAGACUUCGCAAUUUUGUCAACCUAUCGCCUCGACGUUGCUCAAGCGGUAAAAACAGAAAUCCCGUCACUCAUGUGUCGCUUGUCUCUACUCUAGCAACAGACCUUCACUUGCCUAUUGCUAACUCCUCACUCGAGCAAUAAUGUUACACGUAGAAUCCUGCUCCAUGCUUUUGCAGAGUUUUACACUGUUCAGAUUGCCUAAUUGUCCUCAACUAUAAAUACUUAAUGCCCGUCAUGAAAUUUUGUAUGGUUGUUCAUUGUGCCUCUUCUCUAUAACACAUUCAUAACAUUUCUUUAGAGAUUCAAGAGCUUGUUCAUGCACUGAUUCAAUUCACUUACUCUUGAGAUUAUGCAGCCAUAGUUGGGGGAAAACAUCGAAUCCAUUGAAUUCAAAAUGCCUACUUCCUAAAUACCCUUAGGAGGGUACUUUCUUAAUUAAACUUCUGAGGCCACUGAAGAUUGAGAGUGAUUGGACUACGAUCACAGGAAGAGUAUAAGAAUUGGUCAUUCUUGGUGAUCCACUUGGAAGAGACAAUUGUUGGAGAUCGGGAGCUAGUGUUUCUGCAAAAUCUUGGAGGCUACAUGAAGUAGAUUGAGAAGUCUACUACAGUUGGCUAGACAACAUCUAACUAUAAAUCCAUAUUGUCUAUAGUUGAUGUAACUAGCUUGAUCCUAGAGUUUUU
rnacentral:lncRNA from 1 species